rnacentral:rRNA from 1 species
ACGGGUGAGGAAUGCGUCGGAAUCUGCCUAUUUGUGGGGGAUAACGUAGGGAAACUUACGCUAAUACCGCAUACGACCUACGGGUGAAAGUGGGGGACCGCAAGGCCUCACGCAGAUAGAUGAGCCGACGCCGGAUUAGCUAGUUGGCGGGGUAAAGGCCCACCAAGGCGACGAUCCGUAGCUGGUCUGAGAGGAUGAUCAGCCACACUGGAACUGAGACACGGUCCAGACUCCUACGGGAGGCAGCAGUGGGGAAUAUUGGACAAUGGGCGCAAGCCUGAUCCAGCCAUGCCGCGUGUGUGAAGAAGGCCUUCGGGUUGUAAAGCACUUUUGUCCGGAAAGAAAACCUUUCGAUUAAUACUCGGAGGGAAUGACGGUACCGGAAGAAUAAGCACCGGCUAACUUCGUGCCAGCAGCCGCGGUAAUACGAAGGGUGCAAGCGUUACUCGGAAUUACUGGGCGUAAAGCGUGCGUAGGUGGUUUGUUAAGUCUGAUGUGAAAGCCCUGGGCUCAACCUGGGAACUGCAUUGGAAACUGGCUUACUAGAGUGCGGUAGAGGGUAGUGGAAUUCCCGG